ACUAGAGAAGUGUUAUUGGUAACAUAUCAGGCUCAUGCCCUGAAGUUGUAGGUUCAAGUCCUAACUCUAGUA
rnacentral:tRNA from 1 species